AGGACCGGGACGCGGCGGUGGCGGCGGCACCGGACGAAGGCCGAUAGGAGGGCGUUGAAGGGCAUCGGGGAGAUGGGGGACGGGAGGGACGGCGCGGCGGAGCGGAAGGCUUCGAGGGCCUUCUCAGGGAGGCCGGCGGAGGCGUAUGAGCAGAGGAUGGCCGAGAGAUGCGGCUCGGUUGGGGAAGCUGGGAUGUGGGAGGAGAGGAGCGCCUCGGCAUCAGCAUGCCGUCCGGCGCGGGUGAGGCGGCGUGCGGCAAGGGAGAGCGCAUGGCGCGUAGAGCCGGCGGAGAGGGAGGCGGUGUCGAUGGCCUCGAGGAGGGAGACGGCGCGGUCGGCGUCGUACUCGCGGCGGAGGCGGGUCUUGGCGGCCGAGGACGUGAGGGGGGGCGCAGUGGUGGUGGCGCAGAGCGUGCGGAGGAGGACGUCGGCGCGGCGGCGGCUGCGGCGGCGGAGAAGGGAGGCGAGGGCUGCCAUUUUCGGGGGUGGAAUUGGAUCACAGCAAGGUUUGGGGUUUUAG
rnacentral:rRNA from 1 species